rnacentral:ribozyme from 1 species
GCGACGGUCGGGGUGGUCACAGAAACGAACGCCGAAUCGGCGAUCGAGGAGCUGAAGGCAUACGAGGCAGACGUGGCGAUGGUUCUGCGGGAUUCAAGAUGGAUCGUGAUACCUGCCGUGGAGCUGGUGCCGGGGGAC